UAGUAAGGUCAGAUUUGAGUAUUUCCACAACAAUGAUCGAACCGAAGAAGCGCGGGGGUGAGAUGGCAGUUGUUCCGGUCGGUGUGAAGAGACCCCGGACCGAGUUGGUGGCCGCAGCGCAGAACCAACAGCUCUCUGCUAUGGGUCCCCCGCGCAGCUCCAGUCUGCAGGCUCCUAUAAUGGUGCUCUCAGGUCACGAAGGAGAAGUUUACUGCUGCAAGUUUCAUCCCAGUGGAGCCACAUUAGCCUCCUCAGGAUAUGACCGGCUCAUCUUACUGUGGAAUGUGUAUGGAGACUGUGAGAACUAUGCAACACUCAAAGGCCACAGUGGAGCCGUGAUGGAGCUUCACUACAACACAGAUGGCAGUCUGCUCUUCUCAGCCAGUACGGACAAGACGGUGUGCGUGUGGGACAGUGAGACAGGGGAGCGUGUGAAGCGUCUGAAAGGUCACACUUCCUUUGUGAACUCCUGUUUUCCAGCUCGACGUGGCCCACAGCUGGCCUGCACAGGCAGUGAUGAUGGAACUGUGAAGCUAUGGGACAUCAGGAAGAAGGCCUCUGUUCACACAUUCCAGAAUACCUAUCAGGUUCUUAGUGUGACAUUCAAUGACACCAGUGACCAGAUCAUCUCAGGAGGCAUUGACAACGACAUAAAGGUGUGGGACUUGAGGCAGAACAAACUAAUUUACAGUAUGCAGGGUCAUGGAGACUCUGUGACAGGACUGAGUCUCAGCUCAGAUGGGUCUUACCUGCUGUCUAACUCGAUGGAUAACUCUGUGCGUGUCUGGGAUAUCCGUCCAUUUGCACCCAAGGAGAGAUGUGUGAAGAUCUUUCAGGGAAAUGUUCAUAACUUUGAGAAAGUAGGCAGAUGUUAAUCAGGGUUGAAUUGGGGGGCCUGGGUAGCUCAGUGAGUAUUGACGCUGACUACCACCCCUAGAGUGGCGAGUUCAAAUCCAGGGUGUGCUGAGUGACUCCAGCCAGGUCUCCUAAGCAACCAAAGUGGCCCAAUUGCUAGGGAGGGUAGAGUCACAUGGGGUAACCUCCUCGUGGUCACGAUUAGUGGUUCUCGCUCUCAAUGGGACACGUGGUAAGUUGUGAGUCUCCACAGUGUCAUGCACAGCGAGCCACGUGAUAAGAUGCGCGGAUUGACGUCUCAGAAGCAGAGGCAACUGAGACUUGUCCUCCACCACCCGGAUUGAGGUGAGUAACCAUGCCACCACGAGGACCUACUAAGUAGUGGGAAUUGGGCAUUCCAAAUUGGGGAUAAAAAUAAAAUAAUAUCAGGGUCAGUUAUUACUGUAUUUCAUUCUUUCAUCAAACAACAAAGACACAUGUGGCUAACUGGCACUGAAAGGGCAAAUAGGUUCUUUGAAAGUUUUGUGUAAGUGUUUUUGUGUGUUCUUAGAAUCUUCUCAGAUGCUCAUGGUCUCCUGACGGGAGUAAGAUUGCAGCUGGUUCUGCUGACAGGUUUGUUUAUAUUUGGGACACAACGUCUCGUAGGAUCCUUUAUAAGCUCCCUGGUCAUGCUGGAUCUGUCAAUGAGGUGGCUUUCCA